AUUUUAGAACAUUUUCAUCCCCCCACAAAGAAGCCCACCUUGUUAGCAGUCAACCCCUGUGCCCCGCUCCCCUGCUCCCGCAAGCAGCCACUCAUUACUUUCUCUCUGUGAGGUGGGUAUUGUUGCUCCCGCGUUCACAAAUGAGGACAGCCAGAGCUCACUGGGGCUUUCAGCGGGAGGGUGGCGUGAGCGUUUUGUGACACCCAGAUCCAUCCAGCCUCUCUAUGGAGAACAGACUGCUUCAGAGUCACAUCCGGCGAAAAGGCAAAAGGCGGCGCCCGUCUCCCCUUUGACACACCGUGUCAGGAGAGUGUGUGGCAGAGACUGGCUGGCCAAGUAGCAUGACAGAUACAACGUCAAAUUUGGAAAGCGAAAAGGUUUAGCCGUGCUCAAAAACAAGUUGAAUGUCUCUGUGGACCGGAAGUGAAUAGAAAUGUGACGUGGGGGACUGAGGCUGUAGGCCUGCUGGGCCUGGGGCGCCCACCCUGGUCCAAGGAGCCGAAAAGGCAAAUGCAGUGAGGACAACCUGCCCAGCCCACACAGGACCCCAGCGGGCCAGCCGCUGUGGCAUCCACACCACCACGCAGGGCGGGAUAACUCGGUGUGGCAGAGAGUGGAUCCCCUGCCCUCCUUCUGGACUCACUGGGCCUCUGGCUGCCCAGCUCCACAUCUCCCAGCUUCUCUAGGUGACGGGUGCGGCCACAUAGCCAGGAUCUCACAAUGGAACAUCAGAGAGGAGGAUAUGCACCGCUUUCUGGCCCGUAAAAACGCCCGCACGGCUUCCCCCUUACCAUAGGUUGGGAUGACGGCAAAGAUGGAUCCGUGCCCGUUGCUGCUGAGACAAAUUACAACCAAGGUUGUGGCUGAAAAAAUGCAGAUACUUACAGUUCUGGAGGCCGGAAGUCUGAAAUCAGUUUCCCUGGGUCCCUGCGAGACUGAACGGAACAGAUCUUCCUUACCAUCCCCUCCUCCUCCUCUGUCUGACCGGGAACAUACACCCUGGCCUGUUGCAUGAGAUGGAAAUGAA
rnacentral:lncRNA from 1 species